GGCGCACGGGUGAGUAACACGUAUCCAACCUGCCGUCUACUCUUGGACAGCCUUCUGAAAGGAAGAUUAAUACAAGAUGGCAUCAUGAGUCCGCAUGUUCACAUGAUUAAAGGUAUUCCGGUAGACGAUGGGGAUGCGUUCCAUUAGAUAGUAGGCGGGGUAACGGCCCACCUAGUCUUCGAUGGAUAGGGGUUCUGAGAGGAAGGUCCCCCACAUUGGAACUGAGACACGGUCCAAACUCCUACGGGAGGCAGCAUG
rnacentral:rRNA from 1 species